rnacentral:rRNA from 1 species
CCUACGGGAGGCAGCAGUGGGGAAUAUUGGACAAUGGGCGAAAGCCUGAUCCAGCAAUACCGCGUGUGUGAAGAAGGCCUUAGGGUUGUAAAGCACUUUCAAUUGGGAGGAAAACCUGCCGGUCAAUACCCGGUAGCUUGACAUUACCUUUAGAAGAAGCACCGGCUAACUCCGUGCCAGCAGCCGCGGUAAUACGGAGGGUGCGAGCGUUAAUCGGAAUUACUGGGCGUAAAGCGUGCGUAGGCGGUUCGUUAAGUCAGAUGUGAAAGCCCCGGGCUCAACCUGGGAACUGCAUUUGAAACUGGCGGACUAGAGUUUAGUAGAGGGGAGUGGAAUUUCAGGUGUAGCGGUGAAAUGCGUAGAUAUCUGAAGGAACACCAGUGGCGAAGGCGACUCCCUGGACUAGAACUGACGCUGAGGUACGAAAGCGUGGGUAGCAAACAGGAUUAGAUACCCUGGUAGUCCACGCCGUAAACGAUGUCGACUAGCCGUUGGUCCUAUUUACAGGAUUAGUGGCCGCAGCUACGACAUAGUACGACCGCCGUGGAGACGGCGCGAGUAACGUACAANAGAUAGAGCGUGAGAGNGCGAGACGACGACGAGGAGAG